rnacentral:rRNA from 1 species
UACAGAGGGGGCAAGCGUUGUUCGGAAUUACUGGGCGUAAAGGGCGCGUAGGCGGCCUGUUAAGUCGAACGUGAAAUCCCCGGGCUCAACCCGGGAACUGCGUCCGAUACUGGCAGGCUUGAAUUCGGGAGAGGGAUGCGGAAUUCCAGGUGUAGCGGUGAAAUGCGUAGAUAUCCGGAGGAACACCGGUGGCGAAGGCGGCUUCCUGGACCGACACUGACGCUGAGGCGCGAAAGCCAGGGGAGCAAACGGG